rnacentral:rRNA from 1 species
UGUGCCAGCAGCCGCGGUAAUACGUAGGGCGCAAGCGUUAUCCGGAUUUAUUGGGCGUAAAGGGCUCGUAGGCGGCUCGUCGCGUCCGGUGUGAAAGUCCAUCGCUUAACGGUGGAUCUGCGCCGGGUACGGGCGGGCUGGAGUGCGGUAGGGGAGACUGGAAUUCCCGGUGUAACGGUGGAAUGUGUAGAUAUCGGGAAGAACACCGAUGGCGAAGGCAGGUCUCUGGGCCGUCACUGACGCUGAGGAGCGAAAGCGUGGGGAGUGAACAGGAUUAGAU